GUGGGUGUAGCUCAGUUGGCAGAGCACUUGGUUGUGGCCCAAGGGGCCGAGGGUUCAAGUCCCUUCACCCACC
rnacentral:tRNA from 1 species